rnacentral:rRNA from 1 species
CCUACGGGUGGCAGCAGUGAAGAAUAUUGGUCAAUGGACGAGAGUCUGAACCAGCCAAGUAGCGUGAAGGAUGACUGCUCUAUGGGUUGUAAACUUCUUUUAUAUGGGAAUAAAAUGUUCCACGUGUGGGAUUUUGUAUGUACCAUAUGAAUUAGGAUCGGCUAACUCCGUGCCAGCAGCCGCGGUAAUACGGAGGAUCAGAGCGUGAUCCGGAUUUAUGGGGUGUAUAGGGAGCGUAGGUGGAUUCUUAAGCCAGUUGUGAAAGUUUGCGGCUCAACCGUAAGAUUGCAGUUGAAACUGGCAGUUGUGAGUACAGUAGGGGGGGGCGGAAUUCGGGGUGUAGCGGUGAAAUGCUGAGAU